UCCCACCACCCCCUUUUUUGGCAGUUUCGAUUUUAGGGUUUCACAAAAUCGAAACUUUUGUCCGCCUCCAUUUAGCAGGAUCCAUCGACGAAAUUUUUUAUUCUCCCGCUUCUCUCUAUCUCCCUCCUUGAUUCGUUUUCCCUCUUCUCUCUCAUUGUUUCCUACUCGCACCUCUUCCUUACACCCCCUCUCGUCUUCGUUUUCAUUGUCGGAGUUCCAUCUUACCGCCGAUGCGGUCAAUGUUGUACAUAGAGACUCUUUUAGCCCCGGUCAUCUCUCUUCGCCAUCACCAAAUCCGUAUAUCUUCAUCACCGAUUCAUCGUCCCCCUUUUUAGCUCCGGUCGUUUGCGUUUCGUCGCCGUCAUCGGCUUGCCAUCGCCAUUGUCAUCAUUGUUUCAAUUCGAUGCCUUCUUCAAACUAUUGAUGCCUUUUCAAACUCCUCUGUUCCAUUUGUUAUCAAGGUGACCAAGGUUAUUACUCCAUGGCUCAAUUGCCCUCAUCUCUCUCUUUGCACCUUUGCUCGAUUUCUUCCCUAAAAAGGUUCGGAAAGCUGGUGAUCCAGGUAAUCACAGUUUUGCAAUCUUCCCUACGGGUAAGGAGGUCAAUAUGACUUUUGAGUUUAUUGAGAAUCAAAUCAAUCAAUUUUGAGUAAAUAUUCAACUUUUUUUUAUGAGUUUCAGUGAUUAUCCUACUGUGGCUUCUACAUGAGAAUGAAGUUUUUGAUCUUGUGUAUGACAGGUCCGUCAACAGUAAUUUUUAGAAUUAAACUA